CCUGCCUGCAGAUAGGAGCUAUCCACUGCAGGUCUCCUCUCUGCUGAGAGCUGGACACUCGUUGGAAUGACCUACAGAAGG
rnacentral:miRNA from 1 species